rnacentral:rRNA from 1 species
AUGCAAGUCGAACGGUAACAGGAUAGCUUGCUAUCGCUGACGAGUGGCGGACGGGUGAGUAAUACUUAGGGAUCUGCCUCUGUGUGGGGGAUAACUAUUGGAAACGAUAGCUAAUACCGCAUAAUGUCUACGGACCAAAGCGGGCUUCGGCUCGUGCGCAGAGAGGAACCUAAGCGAGAUUAGCUAGUUGGUGAGGUAAAGGCUCACCAAGGCGACGAUCUCUAGCUGUUCUGAGAGGAAGAUCAGCCACACUGGAACUGAGACACGGUCCAGACUCCUACGGGAGGCAGCAGUGGGGAAUAUUGCACAAUGGGGGAAACCCUGAUGCAGCCAUGCCGCGUGUGUGAAGAAGGCCUUCGGGUUGUAAAGCACUUUCAGUUGUGAGGAAAGUUUAGUAGUUAAUACCUGCUAGAUGUGACGUUAGCAACAGAAGAAGCACCGGCUAACUCCGUGCCAGCAGCCGCGGUAAUACGGAGGGUGCGAGCGUUAAUCGGAAUUACUGGGCGUAAAGCGCACGCAGGCGGUCUGUUAAGCUAGAUGUGAAAGCCCCGCGCUCAACGUGGGAGGGUCAUUUAGAACUGGCAGACUAGAGUCUUGGAGAGGGGAGUGGAAUUCCCAGGUGUAGCGGUGAAAUGCGUAGAGAUCUGGAGGAACAUCAAUGGCGAAGGCAACUCCCUGGCCAAGACUGACGCUCAUGUGCGAAGUGUGGGUAGCGAACAGGAUAAGAUACCCUGGUAGUC